UGACCUCACGAAUGAUACGAUGUUGGCCACACUCGUUGCCUACCUUAAUCUCAUCAAAUGUUUUAAAUAAACUCCUCCUGAGUAUAAGCAUGCACUUUGCACUCCCCCAUGAUAGGGUGAAGGCGGUGUACAAGUCAUAAACGAUUGGAGCCUACCACGGUGGAAGGCCACGAAAAAGUGUUCAAAGCACUCUCACGCUUAUCAACUUAAUAAUGGUUUGGUUGAGGGUUUUUAGGUCUCAUCACAUAUAAAUAUUCAUUUUAAUCUUUAUUAAAACAAUUUUGGUCCUAUUACAACUAUUGGUCUAUUUGAUUGAAUUUAGUUGUAUAUAAUACUCCCACUAUGCUUAUAAAACGGUUUUUAAAGCAAGAGUAUAUGAUACUACUAACAUAAACUUUGCAUUCAUUUGAUGGACUAUAUAGUUGCCUUAGGGCCUUAGGAUGACUAUGAACCUUUGUUUAGAUUCAACACGAGCCUAGUGUUGAAUCUCGGUCUAGGGAAGGUGAUUGAUUUUAGUUACGCGUUUCAUCGCAUUAAGGCGUGUUGUCUUAGGGGCGUUGGAUGCUCUACUCCAUUUUCAUGCAUAUCAAAUAAAACAAGAAAAAGAGUACUUUAAAGUAAAGAAGAGCUUAUGCUCUUUUACAACAAUGAUCAAAACAAAUUACUUUAAAGUAAAGAAGAGCUUAUGCUCUUUUACAACAUUUGAUGAAAUCAAAUUACAACCAAAAUCUAAUCUACACAUUCCCAUGGUUCAAACAAAUUUGAAACGGCCUUUCACAUAGCUCAAUUAUCGUAGGCUUAGGUUCAUAAUCACCCUUUAAUUAAUUAACGCUUUAACUAAUUAAAUUGAAUGCAACAUUUUCAUUUGGUUUUUGUAUCCAUAAAAUUGAUUUAAAUGGAGCUAAAUGAAAUGAAAAUCCAAUUCUCAUUUAAAGAGACAAAACAAGUUUGUUCUCAACUUAAUUUGGGCCAAAAUGCAAUAACCUCAACUUUUGGGCUAUAUUGCAAAAACAUAAACUUUUGGGGUCACUUUGUAAAAACACAAAAGUCCACUACUUCAUGUAAUUACAACUAGAACCCAAAAAUUUCAACAAAUACAAAAACUUCAUUAAAGGAGCAAAACAAUUUGUCCUUUAGCAUUUUUGGACCUAAACGUAAAAACGUAAACUUUUGGGCCAAAGUGCAAAUUACACAAAAGUAUCAAAACUUUAUGUAAUUGCAUAAAAGCCCCAAAAGUACUCCCAUUGAGGGAGUGGCUGGUUUUAGAGAAGUGAGUGAUGGUGUGUGAGUUGAUUUUUGAAGCUUUGACAUAAAGCAUGCAAGUGGUGCAUGACAUAAAUGUCAUGCAAGUGGUGUGUGUGAAAGGGAAUUAAUCCUUACACACCCACCAAUAUUUCUUACACCUUUCUAAAUAAAUAUCUAACACAUUUAAAUAUAUGAUAAAUCAUAAAACAAAAACUUUAUGAAAUAAAUGAAAACUUUGAAUCAAAACACCAAACUUUUUGUUCUUGGCAAAAAUGUCAAGAACAAUGAAGAACACUCAUGAAAAACUCAAAAAAUUUCCAUGAACAUUUGUCACCCAAAAACAUCCCAAAACCAUUCAAACUUAAGGGAAAUAACAUAUAACCAUACUAGGGUACAUAGGGGUUCCAAAAGUCACUUGAAAACACUUUUAACAAGUCAAACAAGAACCCAAAAAUCCA
rnacentral:lncRNA from 1 species